CCUACGGGGGGCAGCAGUGGGGAAUAUUGGACAAUGGGGGGAACCCUGAUCCAGCCAUGCCGCGUGUGUGAAGAAGGCCCUCGGGUUGUAAAGCACUUUCAGUGAGGAAGAACGCCUGGUGGUUAAUACCCAUCAGGAAAGACAUCACUCACAGAAGAAGCACCGGCUAACUCCGUGCCAGCAGCCGCGGUAAUACGGAGGGUGCGAGCGUUAAUCGGAAUUACUGGGCGUAAAGCGCGCGUAGGUGGCUUGAUAAGCCGGUUGUGAAAGCCCCGGGCUCAACCUGGGAACGGCAUCCGGAACUGUCAAGCUAGAGUGCAGCAGAGGAAGGUAGAAUUCCCGGUGUAGCGGUGAAAUGCGUAGAGAUCGGGAGGAAUACCAGUGGCGAAGGCGGCCUUCUGGACUGACACUGACACUGAGGUGCGAAAGCGUGGGUAGCAAACAGGAUUAGAUACCCUUGUAGUC
rnacentral:rRNA from 1 species